AAUCCAGUAUAGCACUGGAUCUCACUGAAGGCCUUCUGUAUCCACUCCCUGGUUGCAACCUAAGUUCACUCAAGGCCCUGGGACUCUGGAAGCAGCAGAUGGCAGAGCAAGCCAGGUCUGUGUGCAUUCCUUCAGGGCGGUGAGUUCCCCUAGGCCUUGGGUGGGUCCAGAGGUGCCACCUGAAAGUUGGGGACUAAAGUCAAAAACCUUAGAAGUCUGUAUGGUGCUUUUAUUUUACUGCAGCAGAGCUGGCACUCAAACCACAAGAUGCAGUUCUUCCCACACUCCUCUUUCCAAAGGCAGUGGUCACCCCAUAACCAUUGCCACAAUGAAGAGUAUGGCCAGACUACCACAGAUGUUUCCUUAAGGCCCACAGUCUCUUAAGUCAACUCAUAGUGAAUGCUGCCAGGCCCAGGACUCAUUCCACAGGGCAAUGAACUCCGUCUGGCCCAAAGCAGGACAGCAAUGACUUCAAUACCUCACAAUUGCUGUGCUCUCCUCCCUCCAGUACCCCAGUACCCAGAGACUCUGUACCACAUUCCUGCUGCCUGGAUGAAGGACUGGCAUUGGCAAUUCAAGACGUUUUUUUCUAUCUCUUCAGUGAUAUAGAGUUAAAACCAGGUAUCUAUGAGGAUUCACCUGCUUUUGGUUUUUAUGAAGGUGUUUUUCUUGUGUAGAUACUUGUUAAAUUUAUGUCCUUGAGGCGUGGGGGUAAGAUUGGUGGAGCACUCUAUUGUGCCAUGUUGCAAGGUCUCCCCAAUUUAAAUUUUGAUGAAAUCCAGUUUAUCUGUUUUUUCUUUUGUUUCUUGUGCUUUUGGAAUCAUAUCCAAGAAAUCGUUUUAAGAUCCUAUGUCAUGAAAUAUUCUUCGAUGUUUUUUCUAAAAAUAUUAAAAUUCUAGGUCUUACAUUUAUUGUUUGAUACAUUUUGAGUUAAUUCUUGUAUGUGGCUUAUGGUAAGGUCCCAACUACAUCCUCAUGCAUGUGUAUAUCCAGUUUCCCCAAAAUCACUGGUUGAAAUGAGGGUCCUUUCCCAAAAGGGUGUCCUGGCACAUUUAUUGAAUCUCAACUGACCACCUAUGUGCAUGUUUACUUUUUGGCUAUCCUUUAUAUUUGAUUGAUUUCUAAGUCUGUCCUUAAGCCAGCACCACAUUGUUUUGAUUACUGUAGUUUUAAAGUGGUUAUAUUUGGGACACAAUAAAACAGGCACUGGCAAAGUCACUUUUAGGCUUUACACAUCUUGGAUUUGUCUUUGUUAUUUUUUCAGGAGUCAUAUAAAUACUAUUCCUCAUCAUUAUGCCUAUAUCUUGAGAAGUAAAGACACAUGCCCUAAUCAGCUGUGCUGGGGAAUAGGUCACCAUGAGAUAGAAGACACUUCUCAGUGUCCAGGAAACACUUCUUGGUCUCUUUCUUCCCAUGGCAUGACUCCCAUCUCAACUCACACCCCCCAUACUACACUUUUUGUUGUCACCAACACAGAGUCAUUGAGUGAAGCUUAGAUUCUGUUUUCAGUUCCCUCUAGUUCACUAGCCUCAAAACAUUCAAUGCUGAGCAGAAGGUGAGUGCCUGUUGUAGGCUGGACCACCUUGCAAAAAUGCUGCUUAUAAAAAUAAUUUCUGUCUUCCUGGCCCGAGUCAGUCCUUCACUUCCAUCUAUGUGCAGCCUGUUUUGCUGCUGGAACCGACUGACUAAUUUAUAACAAAUAGUAAUUUAUUUGGCACAAUUCUGGAGGCUGGAAUAUCCAGGAACAUACUGUUGGCAUCUGUCCAGGGCCUUUGUUUUGCAUCAUCUCAUAGUAGAAGGAGGAAUGACAAGGAGUGAGAUCAAGAGAGCAAGAUAGGGCCAAACUUGCUUUUAUAAUAAACUUACUCUCACAAUAACUAACCCAAUUCAGUAAAAAUGACAUUGAUCUAAUAAUGCAGAGCCCUUAUGACAUAAUCACCUCUUAUUACACCCCACCUCAAAACACGUGGAUUGGAUAUUACAUUUUUAACACAUGAACUUUGCGGCACAGAUUCAGACUAUAGCAGCCACAAAGGGAGAUGAAGGAAAUAUCACAAAAAUCCAGAAGAAACGAUGUCUUCUCACUUCCUCCAGCUAUAACUGGGCACAUUUGCUCACACAAUCAUUUCUGUAUUCUCUUCACACACACAUAUGUUGAACAUCCUCUCUGUGCCUGGUCCCAUGAAGUUGACACCCCCCAACUCCCUCAUCAAUGUUUCUCUCCACACUGAAUAGAAAUUCACAUUGAAUUUUCAUGAGUGAUAGACACUUAGUAUUCACUCUUUAUUCCAUUUAACAGUUAGCUUAUGUUGUCAAAAGAUGAUUAACGCACUUUCCUCUUUUUUGAGCUUCCCAAGACUCAAAGAUGUCUUCAGAACAAAGUGUAAAUCUUUUACAUUGGCAUCCAGGUUUUUCUAAUAGAAACCUAGCCUCUAGGAUACUUCCAAGAACUUCUUAACUCAUUCUGUGCUCCCUAAAAAUAACCUAUUAAUGUGGCAGCAAAAGCAUGUUGUGGCAUAUCUCUUUUGUUUUUGAUACUGUUUGCCACUUUUGUUUAAUUCUUACCUCCUCUCCAUAUAGAUAGAACAUACAAGUAUUUUAAUAUUCAGAAUAAUUUCCACCUCUUAUUGAAUUACACCCAAGGUUAUGUUGUGUCUAUUUAGGGGGAAAUAAUAAGAUUUUAAUAAUUAUUUUGUGACCCAUAUAUGGACUACUAACAAAAAUUGAGUUUUUCUCCUAUCUUAAACUCUGUAGCAUUAAAACUCAUGCUAGCAAAAUGAAUAAUAAAUUUUGGUCUGAAAAUCCAAAGUGAAUUCUGGCUGCAUCUGUUAUAGAGAUUUGGAGCUAUAAUUCAUCAAAAACGAAACAACACCUCUUUCUUACUCUGUCUUCUUGGCCCCUCACUUGCAAAUAGAUGCACCGAUGUUCAGCACCAUGAACAGUGCCACCGAGGUUUAUUUUUAAAAACCACUUUAGGGGACUUGGGCAUCAAGGUUAAAAGUGUCACAGAGUAGAUUUAUUUUUGGGGG
rnacentral:lncRNA from 1 species